rnacentral:rRNA from 1 species
UACAGAGGUCCCGAGCGUUGUUCGGAUUCACUGGGCGUAAAGGGUGUGUAGGAGGUUGGGUAAGUCGGGCGUGAAAUCUCACCGCUUAACGGUGAAACUGCGUUCGAUACUACUCAGCUAGAAGAUCAGAGAGGAGAGCGGAAUUCCUGGUGUAGCGGUGAAAUGCGUAGAUAUCAGGAGGAACACCUGCGGCGAAAGCGGCUCUCUGGAGGAUCCUUGACUCUGAAACACGAAAGCUAGGGGAGCAAACGGG